GGGUCGGUAGCUCAGCCUGGGAGAGCACACGGCUGAAGACCGUGGCGUCAUGGAUUCAAAUUCCAUCCGGCCCA
rnacentral:tRNA from 1 species